AGUUUAAUGAGCAAUCAUACCUCUGUAUUUUUCUUUAUCAGUUGGUGACCCAGAUCCCACUAGUGUUUCUCCUGAAUACAGUACCUUCAGCAGUUAUCCAGGUUCUACUGCAUCAAAACAAAAGUUAAACGUGGGUUUGGGAAUGUUCUUUGGCUUUGCAGCUUUUGUCUGUAUCAUUGCGGCAAUAGUAUACUGGUUUUACUUUAAAUAAAUGAAGGAUAGGCAAACAACUGCUCCUCAUCCGGUUGUGUGUAUACCAUACAAGUAAUAUUUUUGGUGGA